AGCGUCAUAUCUCCCUUCUCGCUUCCACUCGCAUGCUCAGCCGCAAGCGCUCGCUCCAUCUCUCUUGCUCUUAUAGUAGCAAUACACUGGGGGAACAGGAUGUACCAGCACGAAGAGGAAGAAUCCAAGUUUAACUUUUCAUCGUUUUCCGAAAGACGAAGCAGCGUGAGUCUUGAAUAUUACAGUUAAUGUUACAAUGUAAUCUUCUCGAACAUGAAUAGAGCAAUUUUUUGGUUAAACAUGAAAAAAAAUACUUGAAAUGUUUGCAAUUAGAGUAAGAAAAAGGUAGAAAAAUAGAUUUCCUAAGGUCACGUUUUCCAGUAUAGAGUAUAUAUGAAUAACCAUAUAUGAAUAACCUGCUAGUGUUUCCCGAAUGUUCAACGAUAAAAUAGAAAGCGCCAAAUUUUAUAAAGAAAUCAAUCAUUGAAUGUUGAGACAAUUCGUACAUAUGUAGUUGAAGGAAGUGUCAUAAUUAAACCGGUUGAAUAUGUCUACAUAAUAA